rnacentral:rRNA from 1 species
GUCGUCAGCUCGUGUCGUGAGAUGUGGGUUAAGUCCGUAACGAGCGCAACCCUUGUCCUUAGUUACCAGCACGUUAUGGUGGGCGACUCUAAGGAGACUGCCGGUGACAAACCGGAGGAAGGUGGGGAUGACGUCAAGUCAUCAUGGCCCUUACGGCCUGGGCUACACACGUGCUACAAUGGUCGGUACAAAGGGUUGCCAAGCCGCGAGGUGGAGCUAAUCCCAUAAAACCGAUCGUAGUCCGGAUCGCAGUCUGCAACUCGACUGCGUGAAGUCGGAAUCGCUAGUAAUCGUGAAUCAGAAUGUCACGGUGAAUACGUUCCCGGGCCUU